AAUUAUCAUCUUUAAUAUAUUUAUAAUUAAUAAUAAUAACACAUCUCUGCUCCAUUUUCCUUUUUGGAUAAAUUAGGAUGAAACACUAGAUAAUAAAAGAGAAACUUCUAACACGUGGGUAAAAAUAACAGUAUAAAGAUGCUACCUGCAAUUGUGACCAGUAGCCCAAAUUUUCAAAGUUUCACUGGAUCAGUUUCUUCCCACAGAAAACUGCCUCUGAUUUGCUGCCUCCAUCUGCAAAUACCUCCCAGGAAGAUCCUUCUGUUACUGUGGGCGUUGGCAUCGCUGGGGCAGGUUCUUUAUUGCCGUUAGAAGUAGACAGAACACAAAUAAACACUGAAAAACCCAGAGCUUGCCUGCAGUGAAUAGGGGAAGGACUCAGGAAACCCGGGUUCUGAACCCCACCUUCCUGCUGACUGGCUGGUAGCCAGGGAUGUUGUAAUGUACUACUGGACCUCCUGCUUGUGAGUCUCUUCAGCAAUUGCAUUCUGUGACCAGAGAUCCAAUGUACCAUGGCCUGGAUUCCCCUGCAGGCUGUUUCUCUCCACCUAGGGCUGGUCCAGGUGGGACUGGCAACUGGGCGGAGGCUGGGUGCAUGCCCAGACAGCACUGAGUGGUCUGUGAGCCAGGAAGAGCCCGCUUGCUACCAGGGUGUGAUUGUUCUUGUGAUUUGGCAACACCCGGCAAACGUGUUCCAUCAGGGCCCAGCUAAAAAUAGGUCUUAUGCAUGUGACUCAGAGGAACCAGCAACCCAGCACACAGGAGGCUGCCCAAUGGGCACAACCAAACACCAGCGCAGCCUGGGGCUCAGUAGCCAAAGAGCUCAGAGCUGGGAAGCAAAAGUGAGCUGGCAGAGUCUGAGGGAACAUCGGCUGGAAGGGCCACCCCCUUGCAGACUGCCCAGCCUCGCUGAGGGCUCAGGCUGGGAUGAAGCCGGGGCUCAGGACCUCACCAUUGCACACCAUCCAGUUGGCUUUGGCGAGGUUUCUCAGGAAAGAGGCCUCAGCCCUGAGACUGGCUGGCUGAGAAAGGCGUUUUCCUCCCCGAAAGUGGUAAGCCUGGUCUGGGGCACAGGUCAGGGCUGGCGGCCCAGGGCAUGUGUGCACUCGGGGAGCAAGCAGCGCUGUUCCCCGGGGCCCUGGCAGUCAGGCCUGAACACGAUCUUGGGGGCAGCGCAGCCGUGGCUCUGCGGUGGAGAAUGUGACUCCGGUGUGGGACUGUGCCGGCGCACUGUGCUGCUCGCCAACACCGAGGAAAGCUCAGUGUUGCCUGAAUGAAAGCCACGCCCCCCAGAAGAAUGAAGCCCUAACAACAAAAGAAAACCUAUCCCUUGGAUAAGAGUGACGGACUUUGUAUUGAAUUCCUUAUAAAAUCAGCGAAAAAGGUAUGAGAACAACUUGAAAUAGUAUCAGUUACCUGGACGUGUUUGUCUUUGAUGGAGGAAGCUGCCCCUUGAGGCCGUGUGUGAGGGCUGUGCCCAUCCUGGGCAGCUGUCCCUCACAUGCCCCUUAGCCUCAGUGCCUCUGAGAUCAAGCAGCGUGUCCCUGGCUCUGGCUCGGUCUCGAAACCGGCACCCUGCUGCCUGGUGUUAGGUCCAGAUGGCUCAUGAGUCAGCUCAGGUGGCCCAGGCUGAGGGUGUCUUCAGACCCAGAGAGGCAGACACCACCGCGCUGGUCCAUCUUAGCUGGUGAAUGUGCAAGGGAGCUGGACAGGGUCUCUGCAGAGUGUGGGCCUGCCUUGUGCCUAUGGGACUCAGCCACAGGCAACCCCUUCCCUUCCCAUAGCCUGCAGCCCGCACUUGCUCACCAUUCAACAUGUGCACCUGGGAGCCCCUACCUAAGGGAUUCAGAGCCCCUUCCCCUCCCUCCCCAAGAUUUUAGAGAUGCUCAGGUAUCACUGGCCCUGCUGGUUUUCCCACUCUGUCUUGUUUCUGAAUUCACCCUUAGAUUUCUCUCACACACUAUGACAUGAUUUGGAGUCCAGUCCAGGGCUCUUGAUUCCCCCUCACCACUGAGCUUCAGUCAGACUAAAUGCUCGUGUUCCAGGUUAGCCUGAGACCUACCAUGCUUUCUCUCAUAAAUAAAGUUUAAAAAAGUAGGCCAACUUCUACAAGAUGGCAAGAGCCAGAGACAGCCGGAAGGCAUAGAUCAGAUGUCUGAAGACAGGUGUUGAGGCCUAGUUCUGGGGCAGACAAUCUCUGUAAAGUUUUGACAAAUGAUCUCCUUACCUCUUCUGUUUCUUCAGCAGAAGAAUCCAGCGUAGAUCAGGACUGUUUGCAUGUGAGUGUGUAUACAAAUCACCUGGGAAUCUGUUAAAACACAGGUUUCCCAUUCAGUGGGUCCAAGGCAGCUAAAAUUCUGCAUAGCUGACCAGGUACCAGGUGAGGUUGGUGCUGCUGGAUUAGCAAUGGAUAAAUUCAAAAGUUCCCUGCAAUGCCCAGCAUCUGGGCACCACAUAUUAUUUUAGUAACUAAACACUUCCAUCAGAUUUAAAUAUAUGCUUACACACAUUUGUUAAAUUACACAUACAAUAACAAGUCAUUCAAGAAAAUCAAACAAUACUGAAACAUAAAAAUACAGAGGUGGAACUACUUUAAAAUUUCCACUCUCAAGAAAGAACUGUUGUUUAGUCCAAGUACUUAAGAAUGGGGAAGACGCACCUCAAUAUCAUGGCCUUCAACUGUCCCUGCUCAGUGUGCCUCAGGACAUUUGGGGGAAGAUUUGAAGUUUCUCCUCUAGCUCGGUCAUUAUAACACCUAUACGGUGGGUGAUGGGGUGGUGAGUUCAGGAUUACGAAGCGGAGGCCUGGAGUUGCCAUGCUAAUCUCAGAUGGGGCUUUGGAGUCCAUGGAACUCCAGAAAGAGAUCUCACAGAGUAAGGGAAGGAGUGUACAGAGGCUGAGCUUCAGAAGUCUGGCCAGCUGGGGCUUCUCAAACUGAGGCUUUCUCUUCCCAUGUCCCGGGGAACACUGCCUAUUCAUUAUGAGAAAACGCCCUGUGAUGUCAAAGAGUGACCUAAUGAAACCAAGAAAGAUGUUUAUUUCUUUAGCAGUGGGCUCAGGACCAGGUGGGCUGGCUACCCAGAUUCCUCAGUCUGGGGGACCCGGGAGAUGGACAGGUUUUGUCCUCCAUGACCUCAAAUGUACAAGUGAGAGAGUGAGGUUCCUAUUCUGGCCUUGCUGCUAUCUUGAGAAAAGAUUCCUGAGACAAGUGUUUCAGUUGCUUGUAGGGUUUUUCACACUAUUCCAGGGGGCUCUUGGCCUGGAAUCUCCCACCUGACUACACUCUCCCCUCCCACGCUCUAGGAGUGACUCUUACUGCAUUUAGAAAAGCCAUUUCCCCAAAUGACCCUACUUCUUCUUGCCUCUGGGUCAGUUAUAGAUGGUGCCUACUUUCUGGAACAUGGGCCUGGUCCUGUCAUCUUCUCUUUACAGAGGUCAUUGCCUCCUCUUUCCCUGUUCUCUCCUCCACACCCCUGGGUCUUCUCUCUCCUGCUGGCAUCUUAUAUGACCCUUGUACUACCACUUCUUAAACAUGGGCUAUCACCUUGCUGUCUUGGACUAACCCGUGAAAUCCCCAAGACCUUGUUCUGUUUAAGGACGUGUCUCUUAGGUGUCCACACCUGGAAUAUAUUCACUGAAUAUUUGUUGAAUGAGUGGAUGCCCUGGAAACUUCAAUCACUGAAGGAGAAUUAGAGUGAUCAUUCCUGAAGAUGCUUACAUGGAUUCAUUUCUGGUUAAUAGAGGAUUUAAUAAUAAAGAUGGGACCAUUGUUUCACAUUACUUAUGAACAAAUCUUGAGAAGACAGUAUAGUAUACAGAGAAAACAGUGAAUUUGAUAUCAGAUCUAAACCCAAGACCAUGGAUUACAUACCAAACAUCAUUUAGUAACAGCUUGGCCUUUCUGAACACUCUUGUCUUCAAUGGAGAAAGGAUUUAGAGUAUUUUCACUAAAUGAAUUAUAGACUUGAAAACCUGUAGUGAAAUCUACAAAUGUCAGCACUUAGUAUUAUAACCUAAUGUUUAGGAAAUUAAGUAUUAUGCAUACCAGCCACCAGAGUUGCGGAUGGCCAGGUACAAGUUAUGAAGCUGUUAUUUCUCGGCUAGAGUUGUACACCCCCUUUGCACCUCCAUCACUAUUCUGUUUUGAGACACUGGCUGGAGCCCUGCAGAGCAAGUUCCUCCUUGGCCAGCUGCUCACCUUUUGGCCCUGCCAUGAG
rnacentral:lncRNA from 1 species